AUUGAACGCUGGCGGCAGGCCUAACACAUGCAAGUCGAACGGAGCGGCGGACGGGUGAGUAAUGCCUAGGAAUCUGCCUGGUAGUGGGGGAUAACGUCCGGAAACGGGCGCUAAUACCGCAUACUAUUAGAUGAGCCUAGGUCGGAUUAGCUAGUUGGUGGGGUAAAGGCCUACCAAGGCGACGAUCCGUAACUGGUCUGAGAGGAUGAUCAGUCACACUGGAACUGAGACACGGUCCAGACUCCUACGGGAGGCAGCAGUGGGGAAUAUUGGACAAUGGGGGAAAGCCUAAUCCAGCCAUGCCGGGGUUGUAAGAAGGGUCUUCGGUUUUAAAGGACCUUAAAGGUGGAAGACGUUACCAGCAGAAUAAGCACCGGCUAACUUCGUGCCAGCCGCCGCGGUAAUUC
rnacentral:rRNA from 1 species